rnacentral:ncRNA from 1 species
ACCUCAAGAUGAGAUUUCCCAUAGCAUAAGCUAGUAAGACCCCUUGAAGAACACAAGGUUGAUAGGUCAGAGGUGUAAGUAUGGUAACAUAUUUAGCUGACUGAUACUAAUAGGUCGAGGGCUUGAUCUA